rnacentral:sRNA from 2 species
UGAGGCGGUGCCUUACUCGACGUUUCGCCCGAUGUCUGAUAAAGCCAGGCUGUUAUCAGGAGUUGGACGGCAGGCACCUGUUUGUGCGUCAUUCGAUGUUUAUGUAGCGCGUCCCGAAGGGGCUGACAUAAGAAGGUGAAUGAGCCACU